rnacentral:lncRNA from 1 species
UCUCCCACAAUCAUAUCUUUUUUCCAUACUGUAAUCAUUUCUCAACACCAUUAAUUAAGAUCUAAUUGAAUUAAACUUUACUUUACUGUUAUACUCCAUCCAUUGACACCAUAGACAAACCUUGAAUUUUUGAGAGAGAAUGGAAUUCCACCCCACUCUCACUUCAUCAUUAACACAUUGGAUAAUCACGAAUUCUGGCCACCACACUUGCUAUAAACAACACCCCGUCGAUCACCUUUCACCAUUAAUUCAUCAACCUUUUAUCGAUUUAAAUUUUUUUUCAACCCUUUAAGACAAUACCUUAAUAACAUCUAGGCUGAUAUACUUGCAUUAAUAUUGAUGAAGUUCAAUGUGAAUCAAGAAGAUAUUUAUGAUGGAAGAAGAGCCCAAGAAUAAGUUCAAGAAUUAUGGAGAAACAUGGGCUAAGUGCUAUAUAUAUUUCAUGAUUCAAA